rnacentral:lncRNA from 1 species
GAUAUACUAAAAGAAGACAGAUCAGUCUCUCUCCUGAUAAGAAGAGUCACCAAGAGGAACAUCUGCAACAACUAGAUGCUGCUACAAAGAGACCAAUCAACAACUGCUCAGCAGAGAUACAGAUCUGAAGCACAGAAGUGCAAUAGACCUUCCUGAUGCCUUCGCCAGGAGCAUGGAAUUCUUCCCAGAGUCACAGAAGAUGGCACAGCCUGGGGACAAUUGGGAAUCACCUGGAGGAUGGCAG